UUCCCUUCUCUUUCCCGAGACCCCGCGUCCCCGCCGGCUGCCGGCGCACUCACGGCGGCGAUGCCCGUCGCGGCGGGGGAGGCCAUGCCUCCGCUUCCGCCUCUGCCCUGACGGACCCCCUCGCUCCCCUCCUCCAGAAUCCUCUUGCGUCCACGAGACCCGCCGCGAUCUCGAAUUCGCCGCUCCACCCAUGACCUACCUGGCGACGUCCCAAUCGUUCCAGUUUCCGAUGAUCGAUUGCUCCCGCAACCGAAGGUUGGGGGGAGAGGAAGCUGCAGGGUUACUCGAGGCGUGAUCGCUGACGGGGGCCGCACCGCCGCGUGGAGCAGCCGCUCCGACUCCGAGCCAUACUUGGUACAUUCCCCAUAUUAGGAUGUUGCGUGGCUGGACAUCUUCAAGGUUCCCAUUGGAGUCUAGAAUGUUGCGCAUUCCUUGUGUUGUUUGACUCUUUAAUAGGACUGCUGCUUCAUGCGUGUAAUCAUGCCAAGGAGUGGGGAUGAACAGAAGAAAGGAGUACUCUCAUAUUCCGGCGGGCUGUGAAGAAGUGGGGUUAAAGCACCAAAGAUUAAGACGGUAUCCAGGAUUCGACACGUCGGUGAGGCUACCUUCAAGUCUGGAGUGGCUCGAAGACCGAGGAAUAUCCUGUCUGUUGCAAAGACCUAGCAAUACUUGAUGAUGAAUGUAUACAUGUUCUUUUAAGAGAACAAAUUACAGCGACAAGGAUUGGAAGGUCCAUGGACGUCAAAAGGUAGGAACUUGCAGUGGUUGUCUACCGGAGGGUGUUUCGCUAGGAGCCAUCUAUGGCCUCAGCGGGGAUUAAUUACUUGUAAAAUAAUGAUAUAUAUUUACCAGUGGAGGUGCUCCCUCAGGUGAGGGGCGGCAGGCACAGACCAGUGUGAAGAAAGACCUCAGGUCGCCGCCCUGAACCUCGACUCGCGGCUUGGACACGACCGCCGACGGGAAUAACUCGUGGCCGUUGAACACCUGCUUGUUGGAGCUGUAGGUCGCCGUCAUCUUCACCGUGGGGUUGAAGUUGUCGAUGACCUCUCCGAUCACCUUCCCGACGACGAGAGGCUCCAGCACCCUAGACAUGGUGGCUAGCUGCAAGAGGCUAAUCUCUUGAGAACGUACUGAAGGGAGAGAAGGUGAAUACCGGUGAUGAGAUCGAGAGGGUGUGUGUAUAGUAGCUCGUGGUGUGUAGGUAAACACGAGAUAAACAGUCUCGAGUGGUUGCUGGUCUUGCUGAUGACAAUGGGAGGGCCGGCCGGGGCUCUAUUUAUAGCUGCGUGGAGCCGAUGGAUCGAACUGAUAAGGAAAAUGUAUAAACAAUGUAAAGUAUUAGAAAAUAUGUAAAUUGUCCCAUCUUCAUUUUCGCCUAAA